GGUAGGUCAAAAGAGUUUACUAUGCAUAUGAGUAUACCAUAGAUGGAUAGAGACAAUACUCAAGGCAGGGGUAAGAUAGAUAUAUAAGUAGCUAGUGUGACACACAUAGGAAUCAUCUCAAGAUAACUAAGGUAGGGAGAAGGACUAAGGGUUAGCUCUAGGUUUAUAUGUACUUCCUAUAUACUGCACAGAUCAUACAAGCAUAACAUACAUACACAUUGUAUAGAACUCAAGCCUAUGCACCCAGGCACACAAGGGGAGACAGUACCCGUACUGGUUCCACCCAGUAAAAUUACUGCUCAUUUAUGAACUCCUACAGCGUACCCGAACAUGGAGUAUUACAAAGGACCAAUAGGGCUAUCACCACCUGCAGCCUACUUCUGCGACCCAUGGGGCAAACUGAUAUCCAAUAAAGCACCAUGCUUGCAUUGUUAACAACACCCCAGCCGACCCAUUGUGACAAGGGCUGAAGCCACCAUAGAAAUGGC
rnacentral:lncRNA from 1 species